rnacentral:tRNA from 1 species
GCUGGUGUAGCUCAGUGGUAGAGCGUUUGUCUUGUAAACAAAAGGUCCCUGGUUUCACGGACUCCGGCA